GGGGGGGGGCAGCUUUAAUGGAAGGGGGGGGGGACGACAAAUAGGGACCCCUUCUUAAUUGGGGAGGGGGCAACAGGACCCCCCCACCUCCCUGUGAAUAGGGGAGGAUCCCCCACGUAUGGGGUGGGGGCACUGGGACCCCCCCUCCUCCCCCCCAUAAUAAAGGAUACCCUCAAUUUGGGGUCCCCCUGGAUUCUAUGGGGCACUGUUUUGGGGUUCCCCCAAUUCCUUUGGAGCUCUAUGGUGGGGGACCCCAAAUCCUAUGGAAUGUCAUUGUGGGGUCCCCCCCAAAUCCUACGGGGCAUUGUGGUGGGGGUCCCCCCAGAUCCUAUGGGGCUGUAUGGUGGGGUCCCCCAAAAAUCCUAUAGUGGGGGUCCCCCUAAAUUCUUAGGAACUCUUAUGGUGGAGACCCCUGUCCCAAAUCCUUUGCUGGGGGUCCCUCUAAAUCCUAUGGGGCCCUAUGGCAGGGACCCCCCUAAAUCCUUUGCUGGGGGUCCCCCAAAACCCUAUGGGGCUCUAUGGUGGGGGUCCCCCAAAAUCCUAUGGGGCUCUAUGGUGGGGACUUUAUGGUUUGGGAAUUGUGGGGUGAGCGGGGAAGGAUUGUGGGUUCAGCCCCAUGGAGCUUCGGGGGAGAACUGGUCCUAUGGGGUCAUACUGGGACCCACAUGGUGACCCCGAUUGCCUUUGUGUGUCCUAUGGGGUCAUUCCUGAACCCCAAAGAUGCAGCCAAGGCCCUCUAUGUUUUAUGGGGUCAUUCGUGAACCCCAAAGAUGCAGCCAAGGCCCUUUGUGUCCUUAUGGGGUCAUAUGGGAACCCAAGUGGUGACCCCAAUUGCCUUUGUGUCUUAUGGGCUCGUAUGGGAACCCAACUGGGGACGCAGAUUGCCUUUGUGUCCUAUGGGGUCAUUCGUGAACCCCAAAGACGCAGCCAAGGCCCUCUAUGUUUUAUGGGGCCAUUCCUGAUCCCCAAAGAUGCAGCCAAGGCCCUCUAUGUUUUAUGGGGUCAUUCCUGAACCCCAAAGACGCAGCCAAGGCCCUCUAUGUUUUAUGGGGUCAUUCCUGAACCCCAAAGACGCAGCCAAGGCCCUCUAUGUUUUAUGGGGCCAUUCCUGAUCCCCAAAGAUGCAG
ensembl:lncRNA